GUUUAUAGUGUUGAGCAACACACAGUUUUGGAGGAGAAACUGGUACACUUACGGCCUUCCACCAGUCAGUGUAUGAGUGUGAUGGAACAUGGAGACAAGACCUCUAAAACCCAAAGCUGGAAAGUAUGGGAGGCUUUCCAGGAGAGAUGAUGAGUAGGUGGCUUUUAAAAUAAAAAAUAGACAUUAUCCAGGUGAAUAAAGUCCAUGUCCAGGGGACAGCAUGUACAAGGGCACAGAGGUAGGAAAAACAUGGUCCAGAGGACUGAAAGAGAAACAGCAUGGCAGGAGGGGAAAACAUAUGCAUAAAGCCAGUGAUAAAGUGAUAAAGUGAUAAAGCCAGUCUGCUAGGUAGGGCCCACUAAGAGCCCUGCAAAGAAUUUGGAUUUCAACUCCAAUGUGAUGAGGUGACAUCAAACAUUUCAAGUAAGAGGACAUAAACAUGAUAAUUUUUGUAUUUUAGAAAGAUGUCUCCAAAAGGUCCAUGGAGAAUGGAUUGAUGUAGGAAGACCAAUCCAGAAGCUAUUAAGGAAGCUAGUAGAUAAAUAAUAAGGAGUUGGAUUAUAGCCUUGAUGAUAGAGAAGAGGGUAUAGAAAGAAAAUAUGGAGAGAUAAAAUUUAGAAACAGAGCUGAUAAUAUCUGGUCACAAAUGAUAUUGGGAAGCUACCUUUAAAGGAGAGAGAGAAAUCCAGGAGCAUCCCCAGUUAACCAAUUUGUGACUUUGAAGAAUGACCAGAUCUGGGAGCAGAGACAGACUCAGCUGUAGGCAUGUUGUUUUUGAAUGACCUUUGUAUGUACAAGUCUAUGCUGUAGGGUACAUACUAGAGCAGGAUGUACAUAUCUGUUAUCAGCAUAUUAGUUACAUACAUAUUAGUUAAAAACUGGGCGAGCAGAUGAGAUUCAUUUAGGUUUUAUUCCUAAAACACAUAAUCAAUGAUCUAAAAGUUGAGUUGAAAGAGUUAUAUCGUGGAAGCCAAAGGAAAAAAGAAUUUUAAGAAAGAAGUGGUCCACAGUAUUAAAUACAGCAAAGGUGUUCUAUAAGAUAAAGCCCCAAACUAUCGUAUAUGGCAACUCUGUGAACUUUCCACAACAGUUUCAUUCAAAUGUUAGAGAAAUCAGAGUGUAGAGAGCUGAGAAGUGAAAGAAAGGCCAGACAUAGCGAAAAUGUAAGUACAACUGAAUCAUCUAGCAAGGACUAGGUUAUGCUGCAGCAGCGAGCAAUUCUCAAAUCUCAGCGGCUUAACACAACAGAGGUUUAUUUAUUUAUUGUGCUAUGUGUCCAAUGCAGGUCAUCAGGGGCCUCUGUUCAACACAGGAGGCUCUCCCAACACAGGCAUUUAUAAUUGUUGCCCCAAGAAAAAGAGAACAGCUGUGUCCCAUAAUGGCAACUAAGUGCUUUCUCCUGGAAGCAAUACCUGACACUUCAUUCUUAUUUUACGGGCCAAGGCAAAUCAACAUGGCCACACAAGGCAGAGAAGUACAACGCUACUACACAUGCAGAGAGAGAACUAGGAUAUCUGUGCAGAGUCUUCGUGAGGGGAUAUGGGCACCAGUAGCUACAAAGGGCCGUUAAGUUAGAGGAGAGAUUUUUGUCUGGUUAAGAUGGGACAGACAAUGGCACUGGUGAAGUGUGUGUCCACAGCUCACACUCUGUGCUCUCGUGUGCAACCCACCCAGUAAACCCCAUUCAUGUCUAAUAUCUCUGCAGGAAUAUCCUUCCUAUGUUGCUGUGUUGGGCACAUCUUCAAAACGCUGCUCAAGAAUCACCUCAUUCAAGAACCUGUCCAUUGAUAAGCUUGAUACUUACUUAACAUUGAUAAACUUGGUUACUCGUGUUCAAGUUCAUUUAGAUUCGAAUGAAACAGCCACACUGCUGCCUUUGAAGCCCAGAUUAACUCAGUUUGCUGUGAGGCCAUGAUGAAGUUUAUCCGAUAUCAAGGAUUUGGCAAUGGAGGCAUUAAAAGGAGCGAAGCCUGCCGCCACGUCCUGUUCGCUGCCUGCUGCACACGGUGGGGUGUCAUUCCAGGACCUUGCUUCAGACAGGCUUCGGCUCAGAGGAGAUAAUGACACUCGGGGAAGAGGAUUCCCAGCUUUGCAGAGACAAGGGCAGCAAUGCUGGAGAACCUCAGGCUCCCUCUAUGCCUGGAAUAGCCGUGGGGGCCGGAAAUGAUUCCCAGGGAUCCUGGACUCUCAGAAGACACCUGUCAGUGUGUCCCAGAAAAUAUACAGCCACAGAGACAAAAGGAUGAAAAUUUUAAAGACGGAGAUAUUGACAAAGUGAGACAAGGGUGGAAACGAAAGUAUUGCAGAUUUCCAAAGAAGACUUAAAACUGGGAAAUACCUGUCAGCCACCUAUGUUAAAUACGUGUGGUCCAUAAAGGCUUAUCAGGAAAGGGGUUCUAUCCGCCAAGUUGAGAUGCAUACCAGAAUGUCCUCAAAGUUUCUCAAAUAAACUGGGCAAAAGUUUCAAGGAGACAUGCAAAAGGAAAAUUUGAAUACAAUAAAUGUAAAUACCAAGUGUAAAGGAACAUUUCCCAAUAGUUAAAGGAGUCCGAAAAUGGGAACGGGCUGCCCUAAACCCAGAAGUUGGUCCUCUCGUGGGACUCUAGACAGCUCUCUGAUGGAGACAAGGGAGAACGUGCUCAGGUUCCCUCACCAGCAACACUGUCCAGUAUCCUUGCCUCUGACAAUCUCAGUGUCAGAAAAUGUCACUGGAUAAUAUUGCAGAUGCUCAAGGCGGGAGACUUGAUGCCUAAGCCUCUCCGUCACCCCUUCCUGAUCCCCAAGUUGAAGGCAUGCAUCCGUCUCAUUGCCUGUUAGCUCUGUCAGUCUUCAGCUGUCAUGGAGGAAAGUCAGCUCCACCUAGAGCCUUGGUCUCUCAGGUGACAGUUUCUUUUUGGCCUUCACUUGUUACAUGGAUUAGUAAGAUGUCUGCAAAGGACAAAGCGUGCUAAACCAGCAGCACUAUGUGUAAAGAAAUCUUAGGAAGCUACACAGAAAGUAUGUACAACCUUAAAAUUGGCACAUGGUCCUCCAUGAGCUCACCUCAAUGUCCGAUUCAGCUGCAGAUCACGGACUUAAUACGAAUUCCAGCUGUUCUGCAUGCAAGCCCUGACAAUCAUCUAAGACUUAGACUGCUGGAAAAAUUUAUAAUCUUCUAUCUUCAUAAAUUUCUGAAUCAUACACAGUACCCAUUUUUCUGUUAUUUUAGGGGUUAUACUUAGUUAAGCAGACAUGGUUACUCAACGUAAUAGAUCAGAAUCUUUUCUGAGGUUUUGAAUGAAUUGGGAAACACUCAAGGAAGAAAUUUCAGAAGACUUAAAUCAUUUAAAGAAGCAUACAGAGCAAUGCCAUAAAAGGUCAUCGAACAGAGAGCAACUAGACCACCGGGGACUAAUUCUCUGAGGGUGGAAACCGUAAUGACUCAUUCAGACCAAAAGGGGUUCCAGAGUCUGAUGUCCACAAUACCCACUCAGAGCUCGAAUGCAACCCGGUCCUUGGGGAAGCCAAGGGAGGAAGAAAGAAAAGCUCUGAGACUGAGGGAGUGAGGGAAACUGAGGACUGAACUACUCAUAAACUGACCACCAAACCCAGACACAUCAAAACCUGUGAUCAGACAGCAUCAGAAAACUGCCAUUUGUGAACUGCAUCCUUUUCCAUGGUUUUAACAUUUUCAUUUUCCUUAGUUCUAUGUAGAAAUGUCAUGAUAAUAAAUAUCAUGUGGUAUCACUUA